GGUUUUAAUGGAAUUCUCAGAAUGUUCAGAAGACUCCAAACUCCUCCCAGGAGAAUUGGAUAAUGGCAAUUAACACAGGGACAGCUUCCCCUGGCGUUCUCUGAGUUUGCUCCUGCUCUGCUCUUUCCCCUGGAGGGCCAGGGUGGUGCUCACCUGAGGCAGAAUUCAUCAGCGUCUGGGGCACCGCUGGGCUGGCAGGCGCAGGAACGUUCAGUUGCGAAAGCAUGGCCUUCCGGGGGUCCUGCCAUGUUGUUGUCUGAUCGUUGUGACUGAGACAAAGCAGAGUAAAAGUCAAACCGUCACCCCUAAGAAGCCUCAUACAGAGAAUGGCUGAAUCCUCAGCAGAAUCAGAGCUCACUCUGCCUUCCCACCUUGGACAAGUCACUGAAUUACCGAAAAUGACAGAGUCAGCAUAGCAUGAGCUGAGAACAAAAGCCAGAAUUCAAGAUUCAUGAGUCUCCAAAUAAAGUCUCCAAAGACCUUC
ensembl:processed_transcript Gm20416 predicted gene 20416